GUGCCGAAGCCCCCACAAGGCCCCAGGCCCAGCCGAGAGGCCAAUAUACCAAAGGCAGAAAAGAAGGCCAGAGAUGUUAUCAAGGCUAAAAAGUCUAGGGAGGCUAAGUCAGGGGUGAUAUACGUAAGCCGCCAAGUAGUUGGUGUGUUGGCACUGCCUCAAACGCUUCUAUCUCUAACAACCAGUUACAGUGUCCUGCCAGCUAUCAAGAAGGGCACUAAAGUGACGAAGGUGGAGACAACAGAAACCCCAGGUCCCCUGACACCUAAUGAUGGGGAGAUAAUGAUCUCCUAUCCAUCUGUUGAUGACCUCCUGACCCCAAAGAGUGAUGUCACGUCCGAGGUUAAGAGCGAUGAUGCCUCCUGUCCAAUUUCACCUGAGGCGUUCUCUCUAACAAACUUCCUG